rnacentral:rRNA from 1 species
GACGAACGCUGGCGGCGUGCUUAACACAUGCCAGUCGAACGGAAAGGCCCUGCUUUUGUGGGGUGCUCGAGUGGCGAACGGGUGAGUAACACGUGAGUAACCUGCCCUUGACUUUGGGAUAACUUCAGGAAACUGGGGCUAAUACCGGAUAGGAGCUCCUGCUGCAUGGUGGGGGUUGGAAAGUUUCGGCGGUUGGGGAUGGACUCGCGGCUUAUCAGCUUGUUGGUGGGGUAGUGGCUUACCAAGGCUUUGACGGGUAGCCGGCCUGAGAGGGUGACCGGCAAAAUUGGGACUGAGAUACGGCCCAGACUCCUACGGGAGGCAGCAGUGGGGAAUAUUGCACAAUGGGCGGAAGCCUGAUGCAGCAACGCCGCGUGCGGGAUGACGGCCUUCGGGUUGUAAACCGCUUUCGCCUGUGACGAAGCGUGAGUGACGGUAAUGGGUAAAGAAGCACCGGCUAACUACGUG